rnacentral:rRNA from 1 species
CCUGCUGGCGAUGGCCUCAGGCCGCACUGUCCUCAUCCCGCACGAAUUCGAUGAAGGCUCUCAGCGCCGAGGUUACCCGCCGCUGCCUGGGGUAAUACAGGACGAAGCCUGGA